AGUGAACGCUGGCGGUAGGCCUAACACAUGCAAGUCGAACGGCAGCACAGUAAGAGCUUGCUCUUACGGGUGGCGAGUGGCGGACGGGUGAGGAAUACAUCGGAAUCUACUUUUUCGUGGGGGAUAACGUAGGGAAACUUACGCUAAUACCGCAUACGACCUACGGGUGAGAGCAGGGGAUCUUCGGACCUUUCGCGAUUGAAUGAGCCGAUGUCGGAUUAGCUAGUUGGCGGGGUAAAGGCCCACCAAGGCGACGAUCCGUAGCUGGUCUGAGAGGAUGAUCAGCCACACUGGAACUGAGACACGGUCCAGACUCCUACGGGAGGCAGCAGUGGGGAAUAUUGGACAAUGGGCGCAAGCCUGAUCCAGCCAUACCGCGUGGGUGAAGAAGGCCUUCGGGUUGUAAAGCCCUGUUGUUGGGAAAGAAAAGCAGCAGGUUAAUACCCCGCUGUUCUGACGGUACCCAAAGAAUAAGCACCGGCUAACUUCGUG
rnacentral:rRNA from 1 species